CACCAAAUCCUGCUCUUAUAACUAUGUCAUGCAGGAAAAUAUAAUAUCCAACUGCUAAAUGAGUGGAGGCACAAUUAAAAACAUGUGUACAAUAAGUGGUAAUCAAACAUCUAAGAGCAAUACAUGCAACGGUCAAAGUUCCUCAGGGAGCUUCGAUACAAGUUCUGGGCAUAAUUGUAGCCACAUAAUUACUUAUCGUUCCACACAAUUAUUCACAACAUAAUAUAAUUGAUUUAAAGCAAUGCAGGUAGGCAAAUUGCAUUUCUCUGCAUGUUAAUCUCCUCAAAUGCAAAGAAAUUGUUCUGCUUGCAGACUGGUGAUGGAUAACAAGGCAGAAUAGUUCACAACGAAAAGGAGUUGCUGUUGGGCUGAAACAGGUGUUUAAGACUUCAACCUUAAUGCAGCCAGAAGCCUUUGUCUCUCAUCCCGAAUGCUCCUCAAUCUCCUUUUCUGCUCCAUCACAGAAUCAUAAACAUUACUGGGGUCUUCUGUUUCAAGAGAAUUCUUCAUGAGUUUCACAUACAG
rnacentral:lncRNA from 1 species